UGAGGGCAACUUGCCAUCCCCAGAGG
rnacentral:piRNA from 1 species